GGACCCGCACAAGCGGUGGAGCAUGUGGUUUAAUUCGAAGCAACGCGAAGAACCUUACCAGGUCUUGACAUCCCCCUGACCGUCACAUAACUGUGACUUCUCUUCGGAGCAGGGGUGACAGGUGGUGCAUGGUUGUCGUCAGCUCGUGUCGUGAGAUGUUGGGUUAAGUCCCGCAACGAGCGCAACCCUUAUCUUUAGUAGCCAGCGGUUCGGCCGGGCACUCUAGAGAGACUGCCAGGGAUAACCUGGAGGAAGGUGGGGAUGACGUCAAAUCAUCAUGCCCCUUAUGAUCUGGGCUACACACGUGCUACAAUGGCGUAAACAAAGAGAAGCAAGAGGGCGACCUGGAGCAAAUCUCAAAAAUAACGUCUCAGUUCGGAUUGUAGUCUGCAACUCGACUACAUGAAGCUGGAAUCGCUAGUAAUCGCGAAUCAGAAUGUCGCGGUGAAUACGUUCCCGGGUCUU
rnacentral:rRNA from 1 species